UGCGGCUCACUUGUGGUCCUUCAAAGUGUCUAUCUCGUAACUUUUCCAUUAUUGUUUCUAUUGCCAAGUACCUGAUUUCUAUAUGUUACCGAGUUAAAUCCUUGAAAAGAGAAUCCCUCUGGUUCACCUUGUUCCUGUUUGUGCAGAAAUUUGUUUUAUUUUUGGCUGUGCUGUGUCUCUGUUGCUGUGUGAGGGCUUUUUCUAGCUGCUGUGAUUGCGGGCUAGUCUUCACUGUGGUGUAUGACCUUCUCAUUGUGCUGGCUUCUCUUGUUGUGGAGCACAGGCUCUAGGCAUGUGGGCUCAGUAGUUGUGGCUUAUGGGCUCCAGGGUGCGGGCUCAGAGUUGGGGUGCACAGGCUUAGCUGCUCCAUGACAUGUGGGAUCUUCCCAGACCAGGAAUAGAACCCUUGUCCCCCGCAGUGGAUUCUCAACCACCAGACCACCAGGCAAGUCCCAGUGCAGAACUUUCAAUGUCAGGCCCUCUCCUAAGUGGCAACUCUAUGGAUUGGCCUAACUGCUUUCUAUUCAACUGGUAGCCCACAAAGAAGCUAGGACAAGUGUCAAGUGGAAUUUCUGAUGCCCCAGAACCAUUGUUUUGCUAUGACCAGCCAUAUGUGGAGUGUGUCUUUUGUGCAGUGCUUGACCCAGCCUGGUUAUACUGAUGGAUUUUCACUGCCUUGUGCAUCUUGUGACCAAUAGCCUGAGAAUGCAAAAUGCUGGGGUUAGGAGUGGGUGGGUGGCACUAUGACUGGGUGUUUCUCUGUGUAAGACUGUGAAAAAUGCAGCCAAGAAAACUGGAUGUUACUGCUUUCAUUUUGUUUCAGGAUAGGCCUGCCUGGAUGAUCAAAACAGAUGGAAAAGAGGCAUAUGGGGCAAUAAUCCUGUUCCUUCGCCUCCUGCUUUCUAGUCAACUGGAAACUUCACAAGGGAAAAGAAAAAAAAAAAAUGCUGCUAGACCUUCAACUGUAAGUUUCAUGGGUCUAUUUAUUUUAAAACUGACGUUUCAAGUAUGGCUGUAUUGCUUAGUAUAUUAUUUCAGCAUAUCUGUAUCUAUGUUACUAGAUAAUGCAACUGUCUUUGAUACUUUGUACAAGUAA
rnacentral:lncRNA from 1 species